GACGAACGCUGGCGGCGUGCUUAACACAUGCAAGUCGAACGAAGAGCGAUGGAAGCUUGCUUCUGUCAAUCUUAGUGGCGCACGGGUGAGUAACGCGUAAUCAACCUGCCCUUCAGAGGGGGACAACAGUUGGAAACGACUGCUAAUACCGCAUACGAUCUAAUCUCGGCAUCGAGGAUAGAUGAAAGGUGGCCUCUACAUGUAAGCUAUCACUGAAGGAGGGGAUUGCGUCUGAUUAGCUAGUUGGAGGGGUAACGGCCCACCAAGGCGAUGAUCAGUAGCCGGUCUGAGAGGAUGAACGGCCACAUUGGGACUGAGACACGGCCCAGACUCCUACGGGAGGCAGCAGUGGGGAAUCUUCCGCAAUGGACGAAAGUCUGACGGAGCAACGCCGCGUGAGUGAUGACGGCCUUCGGGUUGUAAAGCUCUGUUAAUCGGGACGAAAGGCCUUCUUGCGAAUAGUGAGAAGGAUUGACGGUACCGGAAUAGAAAGCCACGGCUAACUACGUG
rnacentral:rRNA from 1 species